UGGGGAAUUUUGGACAAUGGGGGGAACCCUGAUCCAGCAAUGCCGCGUGUGUGAAGAAGGCCUGAGGGUUGUAAAGCACUUUAGGUGGGGAGGAAGGCGUAUCUGUUAAUAGUAGAUACGAUUGACGUUACCCACAGAAUAAGCACCGGCUAACUCUGUGCCAGCAGCCGCGGUAAUACAGAGGGUGCGAGCGUUAAUCGGAAUUAUUGGGCGUAAAGCGCAUGUAGGUGGUACGUUAAGUUUGAUGUGAAAGCCCUGGGCUUAACCUGGGAAUUGCGUUGAAGACUGGCGAACUAGAGUCGGACAGAGGGCCGUGGAAUUUCCGGUGUAGCGGUGAAAUGCGUAGAGAUCGGAAAGAACACCCGUGGCGAAGGCGGCGGCCUGGGUCCAGACUGACACUGAGGUGCGAAAGCAUGGGGAGCAAACAGGAUUAGAUACCCGCGUAGUCC
rnacentral:rRNA from 1 species